AAAGCUCAAAUUUGAAAUCUGGCAGUUCUUGACUGUCCGAGUUGUAAUCUAGAGAAGUGCUUACCUGUGCUGGACCGUGUACAAGUCUCCUGGAAUGGAGCAUCAUAGAGGGUGAGAAUCCCGUCUUUGACACGGACUACCUGUACAUUAUGGUGUGCUCUCGAAGAGUCGAGUUGUUUGGGAAUGCAGCUCAAAAUGGGUGGUAAAUGCCAUCUAAAGCUAAAUAUUGGCGAGAGACCGAUAGCGAA
rnacentral:rRNA from 1 species